CCGAGAUUCCCCCAGUAGCGGCGAGCGAACGGGGAGCAGCCCGGAGUCUGAAUCAGCUUGUGUGUUAGUGGAACGGUCUGGAAAGUCCGACGGUACAGGGUGAUAGUCCCGUACACGAAAAUGCACAUGCUGUGAACUCGAAGAGUAGGGCGGGACACGUGGUAUCCUGUCUGAAUAUGGGGGGACCAUCCUCCAAGGCUAAAUACUCCUGACUGACCGAUAGUGAACCAGUACCGUGAGGGAAAGGCGAAAAGAACCCCGGCGAGGGGAGUGAAAAAGAACCUGAAACCGUGUACGUACAAGCAGUGGGAGCACCUUCGGGUGUGACUGCGUACCUUUUGUAUAAUGGGUCAGCGACUUAUAUUCUGUAGCAAGGUUAACCGUAUAGGGGAGCCGAAGGGAAACCGAGUCUUAACUGGGCGUUAAGUUGCAGGGUAUAGACCCGAAACCCGGUGAUCUAGCCAUGGGCAGGUUGAAGGUUGGGUAACACUAACUGGAGGACCGAACCGACUAAUGUUGAAAAAUUAGCGGAUGACCUGUGGCUGGGGGUGAAAGGCCAAUCAAACCGGGAGAUAGCUGGUUCUCCCCGAAAGCUAUUUAGGUAGCGCCUCGUGAACUCAUCUUCGGGGGUAGAGCACUGUUUCGGCUAGGGGGCCAUCCCGGCUUACCAACCCGAUGCAAACUACGAAUACCGAAGAAUGUUAUCACGGGAGACACACGGCGGGUGCUAACGUCCGUCGUGAAGAGGGAAACAACCCAGACCGCCAGCUAAGGUCCCAAAGUCAUGGUUAAGUGGGAAACGAUGUGGGAAGGCACAGACAGCCAGGAUGUUGGCUUAGAAGCAGCCAUCAUUUAAAGAAAGCGUAAUAGCUCACUGGUCGAGUCGGCCUGCGCGGAAGAUGUAACGGGGCUAAACCAUG
rnacentral:rRNA from 1 species